AAGUUUUGAAUAGGAAUUUUUAUUUAAAAAAAUGUUUGUUUCUUUAUAGGGAUGAUGUCACGAUAUUAUUGAUCGCGCUCCUCCACCAUAGAAACAAUUUUGAUUUGAGGUCGGUCUAAAAAUAGUUAUGUUUUGAAAAAUGAUUUAAAAGAUUUAGUUCACACGUAGGCACAUAAACAUUUACAUAUAAAUGCACAUAAUUCUUUUUGAAAUUCAUGGGAAGUGGUACUUCCGGGGACGCAUCGGGUUUAAAAAAUUGGAACUAAACCUCGUAGUUCCUUUGACUUUCCCACUAACGAUAGGUUAGGAGAUAGUACUUUAUAAUUUAUUUCAAAAUAAGCAGAGUCAUAAUCAAUCCAAAAUUUAAAGAAAGAUUGAAUUAUGUUGCAAGGUUUUGAUAUGAAAUAUUUUUAAACUAAGUAAAUUGCUAGAUGCAUAAAAUGAUUCUAAUAAAAAAAAAAGUUGCAUAAUGAAUGCGGAAAUCUUCAAGAGGACAAAUAGGAUUUCUAAUGAUAUUAACUAAUUUUAAGGGGAGGGCACAAAUAUGCACAAACAAAUUUUGUUAAAAAAAAAUUUACAAACCUAUAGACAUGAUUUCUAGGUGUUAAAAAAAACAAUGUAACAUAUAUAUGCAUGAUUUUGUAAAAUGAUAUGAACAAAUUAAACCUUAGACAUGGUUUCUAUAUGACAAGAUGAUGCUAAAAUUAUAACAUUAUUAAAACACCUAAUCGGCCUAUUAAGUUACUAUGAUUUGCUUUUAACAUUAACGGAAUCUAGUUUAUUAUUUUUUAGACUUCAUUAACAAAAGUGUCAAGCAAAUUGAAAAUUGAUUAGAUUAUAACACCUAUAAACAUUAAAUCUAGGUGGGUAAAGACAAACCUAUAGGCAUGAUUUCUAAAAAAUAUAACGAAAAAAUAAGCAUAUAAAUCCCCUCCCCUAGACGACCCCCAAAUAAAUUUAUUAUAUGAUCUUUAGGGUUACAAUUGUUACAUCAAAAAUAGCGAAAAAUAAAAAUAUAUAGAUAUAUAUAUACAUUCAAACAAAUAAAUAAAUCCUUCUUCAGUUAAUCUUCAACUUGAACUUCAAAUAUGAAACCUGUCAAAGUAAUUAAAUAACUACACAAGUAAUCACACUUGUUAGUUAAGGUGAGACAAUAUGCAAUCGUUUAAUGACGAAUUCUACAUACAAAACAAUAGCUUACACAAAUUGUGAAUGUAAAGAUAGUGUGAAUGUUAAGGAUACUAACCCGUUAAGCAAAACGAAUUGAUUCAACCUUUACUCGAACAAAGUAAUAAGAUAGCAAAGAAGAACCCUUGAAUAAUUACUGGAAUAUUAGUGUUUUGUUAAGUAGCAAGAGAACAAAUGAGAGAAGGGGAAUGAUGAGAGAGUUUUGUGAUUGAGAGUGAAUGAAUCCCCAUAAAUGAAUAAAAGGAGCUCUUUAUAUAGUAGAGGAGGGGGAAACAAAUAAGGGAAAUAAAUAUUUAAAGAAAUCAAUUAUAAUACAAUUUUCCUUAUUUUAAAGGAUAUCCAAAUCAGAAAAUAUGUUAUUACCAAAUAUAAACAAGUAAGAAUAAAAAUUUAAAAUAAAAAAUAUUUUUCUUUAAAUAAAAAAAAAGUUUAAAUCAGAUUUAAUUUAUUUUACCAAAAUAUGAGCAACUAAAUAUGACAAGGAAAUAAUAAGGUUGUCAUAAACAAACAAGUAAGAAUUAAUCAAUCCAAAUAUCAAUGGGAGGAGGGAUUAAUUUUCUUUAUAUAAAAAUAUUACAAAACAAAAUACCUUAAUAUAAAUCAUCCAUAAUUUUACCAAAAAUAAGCUAGUACGAAUCUAUUUUGAUUUAUUUAAGAUAAGCAAGUAAACAAUUAAAGAAAGCCAAUUUAUGCAAUGUAAAAUGAUAUAAGGAAAGGCAUAUUUUCAUGCAGAUUAGAGAUUUAUACUUACCAUAAUGGAAAUAUGUAAUAGUCUCAAGAAAAUCAAAAUUAGAGCUAAUGAACGACAUGCAUAUUAAUAUAACAAAAAUUUGUAGAACCUUAGCAUAAUUAAUUAAUUCUGAAAUCAAGCAAUCAAUUAUCAAAUCAAAAUAAACUACGAUUGAGAUAAAUGUACCAUUCAUUCUAAAAUUGAUGAGCAACAUAAUCAUUUACCAAGAUAUACACAAGAAUUGAUGAGUACUGCUUGAUAUCCAAGAUAUUCAACAACUUUAAUCGUUCUAAAAUUAGUGAAAUAAGCAAAUUCCGAAUUUAUUUAAACUGAUAUGAACAUGUAUGAGUUAUCCAAUCAUAUUAGAAAUUAAUUCAUAAUGAUUCUCAAGUCAAACAUAUGAACAAAAAUUUAUAGAAAAAGGAUCAUAAAAAGUUGAACGAAUUGAAAGUAAGCAAAGAAUAAUGAAUGGAAUGUAUUACCUUUACUGAUCUGCUUUGCAUAUAAUAAAAUAGGUUGCUACACGUUACCAAUGACUGGUGGCCGGAGUUUCGCUGGCGGAGAAACGUUCGCUUGAGAUCCCUUAGAGCUUGCUGCUGUUGUUGGUUGAAAUUGCUGCCUGCACUGCCGGUUGCUCGUUGCUGUUGUCCGCCUGCGACUGCUUGGUUGCUGAUGGGAGGCGCUGGUCACUUCUGUUUCUUGAGCUGCUGCUGUUUCUCGCGGGCUGGCAGUCCUGCAAAAAGGAUAGGAAAAAGGACGAUGGAGAAGAGGAGAGAAAGAGGGGGGAGAAGAGAAGAGGGAGCGACGGGAGAGGGGAGAAAGACGAAGAGGAGAGAAAGAGGGAGAAGAGGGACGACGGGAGAGGGGAGAAGGACGAAGAGGAGAGAAAGAGGGAGAAGAGGGACGACGGGAUAGGGGAGAAGAAGGGGAGAGGAAGAGAAUGGAGAGGGAGAAGAGAGAGGGAGUGGCUGGCGGCUGUUUCGCCGGAAAAAAAAAAGAAACGAGGGGAGAAAGAGAUUAAGGGGAGGUGGCGGCUGCCAGGGAGAGGGAGGGAGAAGAGUGGAAGGCUGGCGACUGCUGGGGGAGAGGAGAGGAGGACGGCUGGUCGAAAAAAGGGAGAGAGAGAGAAAAAGAGUGGGGGGCGGCUGGAGAGAGGAAAAAAAAG
rnacentral:lncRNA from 1 species